rnacentral:rRNA from 1 species
UACGGAGGGGGCUAGCGUUGUUCGGAAUUACUGGGCGUAAAGCGCACGUAGGCGGCUAUCCAAGUUGGGGGUGAAAUCCCUGGGCUUAACCCAGGAACUGCCUUCAAAACUGGAUGGCUAGAGUCCGAGAGAGGUGAGUGGAAUUUCCAGUGUAGAGGUGAAAUUCGUAGAUAUUGGAAAGAACACCAGUGGCGAAGGCGGCUCACUGGCUCGGUACUGACGCUGAGGUG